UACAGAGGUCUCAAGCGUUGUCCGGAUUUAUUGGGCGUAAAGCGCUCGUAGGCGGUUUGUCGCGUCUGCUGUGAAAACUCGGGGCUUAACCCUGGGCCUGCAGUGGGUACGGGCAGACUAGAGUGCGGUAGGGGAGACUGGAAUUCCUGGUGUAGCGGUGAAAUGCGCAGAUAUCAGGAGGAACACCGGUGGCGAAGGCGGGUCUCUGGGCCGUAACUGACGCUGAGGAGCGAAAGCGUGGGGAGCGAACAGG
rnacentral:rRNA from 1 species